rnacentral:snRNA from 1 species
GUGCUCGCUUUGGUAGCACAUACACUAAAAUUGGAACAAUACAAAGAACAUUAUCAUGGCCCCUGCGCAAGGAUGACACGCAAAUUUGUGAAGCGUUCUAUAUUUUU